rnacentral:rRNA from 1 species
AGCGAACGCUGGCGGCAGGCUUAACACAUGCAAGUCGAGCGCCGUAGCAAUACGGAGCGGCAGACGGGUGAGUAACACGUGGGAACGUGCCUUUCGGUUCGGAACAACCCAGGGAAACUUGGGCUAAUACCGGAUACGCCCUUACGGGGAAAGAUUUAUCGCCGAAAGAUCGGCCCGCGUCUGAUUAGCUUGUUGGUGAGGUAACGGCUCACCAAGGCGACGAUCAGUAGCUGGUCUGCGAGGAUGAUCAGCCACACUGGGACUGAGACACGGCCCAGACUCCUACGGGAGGCAGCAGUGGGGAAUCUUGGACAAUGGGCGCAAGCCUGAUCCAGCCAUGCCGCGUGAGUGAUGAAGGCCUUAGGGUUGUAAAGCUCUUUCGGCGGGGAAGAUAAUGACGGUACCCGCAGAAGAAGCCCCGGCUAACUUCGUGCCAGCAGCCGCCGUAACAC